rnacentral:lncRNA from 1 species
CGGCGGUGGUAAAAAAUCCUCUUGUUUUCCAAAUUAAUCCAAAGUCGUGAGCCACGCCCAGUGCAUAUCUUGAAUCCGUGUAGAUAUUGGCGCGCUUUCCUUCAGAGAUCUUGCAUGCUGAAGUCAGGGCUUGCAAUUCAGCUUCUUGUGUAGACAUAGUUGAUGGUAAAGAUGAUGAUUUGACAAUUUCAUCUGUUGUGGUUACGGCAUAUCCUGUAUGGUAUCUUCCUUCUUCAUCAGCAUAUCUUGAGC